GUAUCAGUCUCACCAGUUUCAGGCUCCUGCUCCUGUUCAACAAUAUCAGUCUCAACAAUUUCAAGCUCCUGCUCUGGUUUAACAAAUGCAUCCACCAUAUGUGCAGCAUCAGAACAUGUCACAACAAGCUACAUCUCCCGUUGCUUUCACUGCAAGAACCAACUUCUCACAUUCUGCACCUCCGCAAGAGUAUUGGCUGCUUGAUUCUAGUGCUACCAAUCAUAUGACCUCUGAUCUGUCCUGUCUACAAGCUCCUACCCCAUAUCCAUCCACUAAAACUGUAACUGGGGCUAAUGGACAAGGUCACCAACAAGGUUCUCUUUCAAUGACUGAGUAACAAUGCUGUUUACCCACUUCCUUUGCUCAAACAACCACAGAUCAAACCUGCUACUUAUCUUGGCCAGAAAGUUAAUACUACCCUGUGGCAUUGCAGAUUGGGUCAUCCAACCAAUUAUGUAGUUCAAUCUGCUCUUACUAAGGCAUAUAUUUCUUUUCAUUGUCAUUCUGUUCCUCAACCAUGUACCUCUUGCUUACAAGGCAAGUUUACCAAAUUACCAUUCCCAUUAGCA